UUGUUAUCACUAGGCUGAUCAAUGCUUUUGUAAGUGUGACCGGCACUAUGAUAACCUAAAUAUUUCCCAUUCAGGGUACUUCUACAUUUUACAAGUCGGUAAAAUCUCAAUUUUAUGCCCAAAUGGAAGCAAGAAAGUUAGAGAGUGAUGAAAUAUAUUGAGGUGGCACAUAUCCCAUCUUGAACUUUAAUCACGGGCUUCAGUAUGUUAAGGAUUGGUUGUUAGCAUCUCAUAAAUAUUAGAAUCCUUUCCGUGAAUCCGUGAAGAAUGAAACUGAUAGUCUUCUAUAAAUAUUCUUUAUAUAUUCUGAAAUUCAUUGAAACUUUUAUUUGCCCCUAAAAACUGAUUUAGAAAGCUAAUCUUAAAAAUUCAUCCCAUGGAAGGAAAGCAUGACCUUACAUAAGACUUUAAUCAAACUCCUCUUUAGCAAUUGCUAUAAAAUAAUGUG
rnacentral:lncRNA from 1 species